GCACAGAGCCCGACGCGGGGCUCAAACUCACGAACUGCGAAAUCAUGACCUGAGCCGAAGUCGGACACUUAACCGACUGAGCCACCCAGGCGGCCCUCAUUAAAUGUCAAUUUAGGCAAAUUUCCCAAUUUUAGUCUUUGUGAGACCUGAAGAUUUUGCUGGCACUUUCUCGUCACUCCUGAUGAUCUUUUUCAACCUGUGGAGGAUUGCUCUAAAUAUAUAAGGUUGCUGUGAUAGGGAAAAAAUUCUAAUUUUUCUCCUUUUAAUUACAGCUUUGAAUGCAAUAUCGAUUUUGCUCAAAGUCCUUCUAGCCUGUAAUUUAGUAAAGCUAAUUCAAGUGAACACAGACUUCUCCCCGUUAGGUCUCAUAAUGGUUCGUGAAAGUCUUAAUUAAGCAUCUGCUAAAAGGUAAAUGAGUUACGAAAGUGAGCAUGGCUGUCACUCUGGACUAGCUACUACCAAACAUUUGAGAAAGAGCUAGACUAACUCCUGCUUUAAUUAAAUGAUGAACAUCUCUCCAUUAGACUCUGUAUGGGAGUCACCUCGUGUAGGAGGCAGUGGGGACACUUGAAAACGAGGACGGCCCUGUGCCCAGUCACCGGCGUGCAGUCUGGCGUCCAGAGGCACGGUCCACAGGUCACAUACAAUUCAAAGCAGCACAAGGCGACACUUCCCCAGGGUAAACCAAGCUUGACUUGAGUCAUAAUUGGAGGCAGAGCUACAGUAAGAGACACCACGAGCCAGUGUUUGAAAUAUUCGGAUUUUCCACUGCUUCCUGCGUCCACAUGCCCGAGCACCCACGUGCCACCAAGGUCACGCAGCGGACGACGCAGGGAAUCAGGGACGAGAAAAUGCCCCGAGAUCCCGGGAGGCCUUCGGUGGAGGCACCGGCAGGGAGCAGUCUGCUGUGGGAAGAGUCACGGGAAGGGUCCUCAUCGCAGCUCAGGGAGCACACGGGUCCCGCGAAGGAGGUGCUGACACGGACUUCUCCUGAGGCCAGCGCCUACCUCUCCACGGGCAAGCGGGGGCCGUCUGUCUGCUGUUUGCCCCCAGUCUUUGCACCUAGUCGGGCCUCUGGCACAAGAGGGGUGGUGGUUGAGCCAGCGGGAAGGGGCAGGUGGGGCCUCGCGGUAACACGGGCCACUGCUCUGACUCAGAGGAAGCCAGUGCCACGUGUGGUGUCACGGCUCCCGGCACGUCUGUGGGUCCUGUGCAGAAUACUGGGAAGGGGACACGGGGCUGAGUCCAGGACGUGUAACAUGAAGGUGGCCGAUCGUUUUCGGGGGAAAGCAAGCCGUGCCAAAAUUUGCGCACACGUACGCAGAGACCUGUCUGGGAGCCCGGGAGACCUGCUUGGGGAGGACGGGAAUGUUGGGACACAUCGGUGACACGUGCACCACGGAACACGUCGGACCAGAUGUUUUCUUCCCAAGAACAACAGCAGCGAGAAUGCAGCCUGUGCCCGGCCCCUGGGAAGGCAUGGGCCCUGCUAUCAUGCUAUCGUGCCUGCCUGGGGACCCCAGAGACAGACUGAAUAUGCAACAGCUGGGCCGUGUGCAAUAGAACUCUGACCCAGCCCUGCAGCCGCCAGCCAGAAACCAGCCUGUCUUCCAAGGUCACCAGCCCUGGGGGCCCAGCCCAUCCUCAGAGGUCACCAGCCCUGAGGGCCCAGCCCUGUCCGCAGAAGUCACCAGCCCUGGGGGCCCAGCCUGUCCUCAGAGGUCACCAACCCUAGGGGCCCAUACCCAUCCUCAGAGGUCACCAGCCCUGGGGGCCCAGCCCUGUCCUCAGAGGUCACCAGCCCUGGGGGCCCAGCCUGUCCUCAGAGGUCACCAGCCCUGGGGGCCCAGCCUGUCCUCAGAGGUCACCAGUCCUGGGGGCCCAGCCCUGUCCUCAGAGAUCAGCAGCCCUAGGGGCCCAGCCUGUCCUCAGAGGUCACCAGUCCUGAGGGCCCAGCCCUGUCCUCCGAGGUCACCAGCCCUGGGGGCCCAGCCCAUCCUCAGAGGUCACCAGCCCUGGGGUCCUUGCCCUGUCCUCAGAGGUCACCAGCCCUGGGGGCCCAGCCUGUCCUCAGAGGUCACCAGCCCUGGGGGCCCAGCCUGUCCUCAGAGGUCACCAGCCCUGGGGGCCCAGUCCUGUCUUCAGCGGUCACAGCCCAGAGGCCCAGCCCAUCUUUCAAGGUCACCAACCCUGGGGGCCCAGCCUAUCCUCAGAGGUCACCAGCCCUGGGGACCCAGCCUGUCCUCAGACGUCACCAGCCCUGGGGGCCCAGCCCUGUCCUCGGAGGUCACCAGCCCUGUGGGCCCAGCCUGCUGAAGCCAGACGUGUCUCUAGGAAGUCAGACCUCUGUCUCUAGCAACCCAUCCAAGAAGCCCAACAAUCAUGCUGGGACAGCUGUCCCCACAGCCAGAACUUGAUCAAUAACUGACAGCUUCCCCGAUUUUGUCCCCACUUCCCUCUUAGGACCAACCACAGAAAGCCAAACACGUUCCCCAAACCAGUUCUGAGGACGACGCUCCAGACCUGCCCAGGCCCGACUUCAUGGCACCCACAGCCUCCAUCAGGACACGGACCUUCCUCUCCCUCCCCCCCAGCGGAGGCCCCGCUCCUGUGCCUGCCCGUGACCUUCUGCCAGAGGCAGGAACGUGGCCCAGACGCUGAAUUCUCUCCGGCUAUUGUACAGCACACAAACAUCCCUGAACCGAACAGCUUUGACGGUUCGGGGUCUGCAGAGGUUAUCCAGAGUACAACCUCGGACCAGAUGCACCUUUUUGGAAUUCCCUUCCAGAAGGUCCCCAGAAGGCCGGAACGGGGGUGCCUGCAGGCCAGCCUGCUGCAGCCCAACCCCCAGACGUGUGCAAGGUGGAGCCCCAGACAGGAGCUCCCGGCCUGGCCCUCCGCAGAGGAGGUCAGGAGCACGUGUGUCCCAGCCUCUGGCCCCCUGCCUGUGCCCUUCUGCCCCGGCUGCGUCUUGGGCCGGCAGUGCCUCCCUCGUGCUCAGCCUGGGUGGGCUGGUUGGAGAGGAACUCUGUUGACCCCCUCCAGGGCAGCAGGAUGAAAUGAAACAAUGUGUCCUCUGAGAGCUCCCUGCCGCUGAGUUCUGGGUCCCAGUGCUGACUUGGGUUGGGGCUCCCAAGGGAAGGGGGGCUGGACCGUGGCUGCAGUGGCUGAGAGGAAGCCAGUGGCCCUGGGGUCGUGCCCAUAGGCAUCCGGAGCCUCCCCGGUUUUCAUGACCCUCCUGUCUCCCCCUCCUCGUUCCCCAGAUGCUUCAGAUGAUUUGCCCCAUCCUGCAGGCGCUGGGAACGGAUGGCGGACGGUGAGGCACCCCUGCAGUUCUGUUCUAUUGAAGGGGUGCAGAGGCCCCACACAAACACGCGCUCGGGCACAUUGCCUACUUUGAGCCGAAGUCAUUGGAGAAGCAGAGCAGGGUGACUUAGCAGAAUUGCCCGAUUCUUGUGUCUGGGGGCUUCCUCACCUCUAACCACGCGGGAGAACCACCUCUGGUCUGGCUCCACGGCGGGAACUGUUCCUGUUAACUGGGUGGGGCUGCUGCACGCGGCCCCAGAGAGCAACAGCCGCUUCGCUCCACCACCUAACACCCGACCCCGCGGACGGGGACACGUGAACUCGCUCGAGCUGACCGCCUCUGAGUGGGACUCAGACAUCAGUGGACUGAUUCUGCAUGAACCUCGGGAUCGUUUUCCACCUCGAUGAAAAAUGCCACUGGAGUGUUGAGAAGGAUCGCGUUGCGUCUAGGGAUGACUCUGGGAAGUGUGUAACAACGUUAACUCUUCCAGUUGACUAGCACGAGAGAUCUUUCCACCGACUUGUGUCUGCUUCAGUUUCUUUCAUCAGUGUCUUGCCGAUCUGCUACCGCCUUGGCUAAAUUUCUUCCGAAGCUUUUGUUACUUUUGAUACUGUUGUAAAUAAGAUUGGUUUUUUUUUUCCCAAUUUUUUUAAAGCAGGAUUCAUGCCCAGUGCAGAACCCGAUGCGUGACUUGAGACAGACCCAAACUGAGAUCUAGAGUCAGACAUUCAGCCGACUGAGCCCCCCAGAUGCCCCUGAGGUUGUUUAUAUUUCUUUCUCAGAUACUUUGUUCUUAGUAUACAGAAA